CUGGCAUCACUAUACUACUAACAGACCGUAACCUCAACACCACCUUCUUCGACCCAGCCGGAGGAGGAGACCCCAUUCUAUACCAACACCUAUUCUGAUUUUUCGGUCACCCUGAAGUUUAUAUUCUCAUCCUACCAGGCUUCGGAAUAAUCUCCCAUAUUGUAACUUACUACUCCGGGAAAAAAAGAACCAUUUGGAUACAUAGGUAUGGUCUGAGCUAUGAUAUCAAUUGGCUUCCUAGGGUUUAUCGUGUGAGCACACCAUAUAUUUACAGUAGGAAUAGACGUAGACACACGAGCAUAUUUCACCUCCGCUACCAUAAUCAUCGCUAUCCCCACCGGCGUCAAAGUAUUUAGCUGACUCGCCACACUCCACGGAAGCAAUAUGAAAUGAUCUGCUGCAGUGCUCUGAGCCCUAGGAUUUAUUUUUCUUUUCACCGUAGGUGGCCUGACUGGCAUUGUAUUAGCAAACUCAUCACUAGACAUCGUACUACACGACACGUACUACGUUGUAGCCCACUUCCACUAUGUCCUAUCAAUAGGAGCUGUAUUUGCCAUCAUAGGAGGCUUCAUUCACUGAUUUCCCCUAUUCUCAGGCUACACCCUAGACCAAACCUACGCCAAAAUCCAUUUCGCUAUCAUAUUCAUCGGCGUAAAUCUAACUUUCUUCCCACAACACUUUCUCGGCCUAUCCGGAAUGCCCCGACGUUACUCGGACUAUCCCGAUGCAUACACCACAUGAAAUAUCCUAUCAUCUGUAGGCUCAUUCAUUUCUCUAACAGCAGUAAUAUUAAUAAUUUUCAUAAUUUGAGAAGCCUUCGCUUCGAAGCGAAAAGUCCUAAUAGUAGAAGAACCCUCCAUAAACCUGGAGUGACUAUAUGGAUGCCCCCCACCCUACCACACAUUCGAAGAACCCGUAUACAUAAAAUCUAGACAAAAAAGGAAGGAAUCGAACCCCCCAAAGCUGGUUUCAAGCCAACCCCAUGGCCUCCAUGACUUUUUCAAAAAGAUAUUAGAAAAACCAUUUCAUAACUUUGUCAAAGUUAAAUUAUAGGCUAAAUCCUAUAUAUCUUAAUGGCACAUGCAGCGCAAGUAGGUCUACAAGACGCUACUUCCCCUAUCAUAGAAGAGCUUAUCAUCUUUCAUGAUCACGCCCUCAUAAUCAUUUUCCUUAUCUGCUUCCUAGUCCUGUACGCCCUUUUCCUAACACUCACAACAAAACUAACUAAUACUAACAUCUCAGACGCUCAGGAAAUAGAAACCGUCUGAACUAUCCUGCCCGCCAUCAUCCUAGUCCUUAUCG
rnacentral:lncRNA from 1 species